UUUGUUGUGUGACCCCAUAAGUUCAAUUCUAUUUGGUAAUGAGAUAUACAAUGAUCUCUAUCAUAGUAUCAUUAAAACUUUUUUCAAUGAGUCAGAAUAAUUUCACUCUAACUCAUCAAAGAUUAUCGAUCUCGAACAACUCUAGUGAGCUCUCACAAUCCACCAGUGAUACCUAGCAGUAUGUAGUGACAACCCAGUAGAACCAAAAAUAAACCUUAAGAUGUAGUUAACGUGUGAUUCAGUCCUCCUAUCAUAAGUCCCGACUAGAUGGC
rnacentral:lncRNA from 1 species